rnacentral:rRNA from 1 species
AUUGAACGCUGGCGGCAGGCCUAACACAUGCAAGUCGAACGAGUGGCGGACGGGUGAGUAAUGUCUGGGAAACUGCCCGAUGGAGGGGGAUAACUACUGGAAACGGUAGCUAAUACCGCAUACCAUCGGAUGUGCCCAGAUGGGAUGAGCUCGUAGGUGGGGUAACGGCUCACCUACGCGCCGAUCCCUAGCUGGUCUGAGAGGAUGACCAGCCACACGUGAACUGGGACACGGUCCAGGCUCCUACGGGAGGCAGCAGUGGGGAAUAGUGCACAAUGGGCGCAAGCCUGAUGCAGCCAUGCCGCGUGUAUGAAGAAGGCCUUCGGGUUGUAAAGUACUUUCAGCGAGGAGGCGUUACUCGCAGGAGAAGCACCGGCUAACUCCGUGCCAGCAGCCGCGGUAAUUC